GGGGAAGUGCGGCGUGACUAUACUGCUAGUCGAACGCGCAGCGAAAGGUGCUUGCACCUUUCAAGCGAGUGGCGAACGCGUUAGUAACACGUGGAUAACCUGCCUCAAGGCUGGGGAUAACAUUUGGAAACAGAUGCUAAUACCGAAUAAAACUUAGUAUCGCAUGAUACAAAGUUAAAAGGCGCUACGGCGUCACCUAGAGAUGGAUCCGCGGUGCAUUAGUUAGUUGGUGGGGUAAAGGCUUACCAAGACGAUGAUGCAUAGCCGAGUUGAGAGACUGAUCGGCCACAUUGGGACUGAGACACGGCCCAAACUCCUACGGGAGGCUGCAGUAGGGAAUCUUCCACAAUGGGCGCAAGCCUGAUGGAGCAACGCCGCGUGUGUGAUGAAGGCUUUCGGGUCGUAAAGCACUGUUGUAUGGGAAGAAAUGCUAAAAUAGGGAAUGAUUUUAGUUUGACGGUACCAUACCAGAAAGGGACGGCUAAAUACGUGCCAGCAGCCGCGGUAAUACGUAUGUCCCGAGCGUUAUCCGGAUUUAUUGGGCGUAAAGCGAGCGCAGACGGUUGAUUAAGUCUGAUGUGAAAGCCCGGAGCUCAACUCCGGAAUGGCAUUGGAAACUGGUUAACUUGAGUGUUGUAGAGGUAAGUGGAACUCCAUGUGUAGCGGUGGAAUGCGUAGAUAUAUGGAAGAACACCAGUGGCGAAGGCGGCUUACUGGACAACAACUGACGUUGAGGCUCGAAAGUGUGGGUAGCAAACAGGAUUAGAUACCCUGGUAGUCCACACCGUAAACGAUGAAUACUAGGUGUUAGGAGGUUUCCGCCUCUUAGUGCCGAAGCUAACGCAUUAAGUAUUCCGCCUGGGGAGUACGACCGCAAGGUUGAAACUCAAAGGAAUUGACGGGGACCCGCACAAGCGGUGGAGCAUGUGGUUUAAUUCGAAGCAACGCGAAGAACCUUACCAGGUCUUGACAUCCUUUGAAGCUUUUAGAGAUAGAAGUGUUCUCUUCGGAGACAAAGUGACAGGUGGUGCAUGGUCGUCGUCAGCUCGUGUCGUGAGAUGUUGGGUUAAGUCCCGCAACGAGCGCAACCCUUUAUUGUUAGUUGCCAGCAUUCAGUUGGGCACUCUAGCGAGACUGCCGGUGACAAACCGGGAGGAAGGCCGGGGACGACGUCAAAUCAUCAUGGCCCUUUAUGAC
rnacentral:rRNA from 1 species